UGUUGCUGCCCCAGAAGAAGUGAGGCUGCUACUACUGUUCCGGCCACAUUGGCUGUUGUAAACUAGGAAAAAGAAAGGGAUCGUUGCGUUUAAAUUCGACGGUUUCGACUAAUUAAGUGACACAGGUUCGAAGACUCAGUUUGAAGCUGCGGGCGAUUCUAGAACUUAUUUACGAGUUAAGUGUAUGAGUUAAUUUUCUUUCAUAGAGUUCCCUCGCCCUUAUUGCUUAAGAUUUUUAUUUUAUACAGAGGGAUAGGAUUUGUAUC